CCUACGGGGGGCAGCAGUGAGGAAUAUUGGUCAAUGGACGAGAGUCUGAACCAGCCAAGUAGCGUGAAGGAUGACUGCCCUCUGGGUUGUAAACUUCUUUUAUAAAGGAAUAAAACGAGGCACGUGUGCCUUUUUGCAUUUACUUUAUGAAUAAGGAUCGGCUAACGUCGUGCCAUCAGCCGCGGUAAUACGGAGGAUCCGAGCGUUAUCCGGAUUUAUUGGGUUUAAAGGGAGCGUAGAUGGGUUGUUAAGUCAGUUGUGAAAGUUUGCGGCUCAACCGUAAAAUUGCAAUUGAUACUGGCAGUCUUGAGUACAGUUGAGGUAGGCGGAAUUCGUGGUGUAGCGGUGAAAUGCUUAGAUAUCACGAAGAACCCCGAUUGCGAAGGCAGCUUACUAAACUGUGACUGACAUUGAUGCUCGAAAGUGUGGGUAGCAAACAGGAUUAGAUACCCUAGUAGUC
rnacentral:rRNA from 1 species